rnacentral:rRNA from 1 species
AGUGAACGCUGGCGGUAGGCCUAACACAUGCAAGUCGAACGGCAGCACAGUAAGAGCUUGCUCUUACGGGUGGCGAGUGGCGGACGGGUGAGGAAUACAUCGGAAUCUACUUUUUCGUGGGGGAUAACGUAGGGAAACUUACGCUAAUACCGCAUACGACCUACGGGUGAAAGCAGGGGAUCUUCGGACCUUGCGCGAUUGAAUGAGCCGAUGUCGGUUUAGCUAGUUGGCGGGGUAAAGGCCCACCAAGGCGACGAUCCGUAGCUGGUCUGAGAGGAUGAUCAGCCACACUGGAACUGAGACACGGUCCAGACUCCUACGGGAGGCAGCAGUGGGGAAUAUUGGACAAUGGGCGCAAGCCUGAUCCAGCCAUACCGCGUGGGUGAAGAGGGCCUUCGGGUUGUAAAGCCCUUUUGUUGGGAAAGAAAAGCAGCAGGUUAAUACCCCGCUGUUCUGACGGUACCCAAAGAAUAAGCACCGGCUAACUUCGUG